rnacentral:rRNA from 1 species
CCUACGUGUGGCAGCAGUGGGGAAUAUUGGGCAAUGGGCGCAAGCCUGACCCAGCAACGCCGCGUGAAGGAAGAAGGCUUUCGGGUUGUAAACUUCUUUUCUGAGGGACGAACAGAGUGCCGGUACCUCUGGAAUAAGCCCCGCCUACCUACGUGCCAGCAGCCGCGGAAAUCCUUAGGUGGCAAGAGUUAUCCGGUUUUAUUGGGUGUAAAGGGCGUGUAGGCGGGCAAGCAAGUCAGAUGUGAAACCUCAGGGCUCAACCCUGGGCCUGCAUUUGAAACUGUUGGUCUUGAGUGCAGGAGAGGCAAUCGGAAUUCCGUGUGUAGCGGUGAAAUGCGUAGAGAUACGGAGGAACACCAGUGGCGAAGGCGGAUGGCUGGACAGUAACUGACGGUGAGGCGCGAAAGCGUGGGGAGCAAACAGGAUUAGAUACCCGGGUAGUC